UUUCAAUUAUUGUGGCUUCCUCUUUCAUUUUUCAACCCAGACUCCACAUCCUUAUGUUUCAAUUAAUAUCCCUUUAAUUUUUGCAAGUAUUUUCAGACUCAUUGCUUAACAUGUUUGAAUCAUUACUUCAAUUUCAUCCCUGUAACAUGUUUCUCUGUUUCAUGGUACAAAUUUGGUUAUGAAAUAUUAUAAUGGCGAUAGAUACUUGUGGGCUUCAUCUAGAAUGCCUAGAAUGUAUUUGCAGAAAGUUUCUCUCUUUUCAUGGUAUAAAAUCGAACACCAAAUGUUGUAAUGGAGACUACGGGUUGCAAUCUAAAAAUUUGCAAAUCAUGCCGACAUCAUCUCACCAGGUACCAUGCAGG
rnacentral:lncRNA from 1 species